rnacentral:rRNA from 1 species
UACGUAGGGUGCGAGCGUUGUCCGGAAUUAUUGGGCGUAAAGAGCUUGUAGGCGGUUUGUCGCGUCUGCUGUGAAAAUCCGGGGCUCAACCCCGGACUUGCAGUGGGUACGGGCGGACUAGAGUGUGGUAGGGGAGACUGGAAUUCCUGGUGUAGCGGUGGAAUGCGCAGAUAUCAGGAGGAACACCGAUGGCGAAGGCAGGUCUCUGGGCCACUACUGACGCUGAGAAGCGAAAGCAUGGGGGAGCGAACAGG